rnacentral:rRNA from 1 species
UACGUAGGGAGCAAGCGUUGUCCGGAAUCAUUGGGCGUAAAGAGCGCGUAGGCGGUCCGGUAAGUCGGUUGUGAAAACUGGGGGCUCAACCCUCAGACGCCGACCGAUACUGUCGGGCUAGAGUCCGGAAGAGGCGAGUGGAAUUCCUGGUGUAGCGGUGAAAUGCGCAGAUAUCAGGAGGAACACCGGUGGCGAAGGCGGGUCUCUGGGCCGAUACUGACGCUGAGGAACGAAAGCGUGGGGAGCGAACAGG